UACGUAGGUGACCAGCGUUGUCCGGAUUUACUGGGCGUAAAGAGCGCGCAGGCGGUCGUUCAAGUCGAGUGUGAAAGCCCCCGGCUCAACUGGGGAGGGUCAUUCGAUACUGAUCGACUGGAAGGCAGGAGAGGGAAGCGGAAUUCCCGGUGUAGCGGUGAAAUGCGUAGAUAUCUGGAGGAACACCGGUGGCGAAGGCGGCAUCCUGGACCAACACUGACGCUGAGGAGCGAAAGCCAGGGGAGCAAACGGG
rnacentral:rRNA from 1 species